rnacentral:misc_RNA from 1 species
AAAAAUAAAUAAACCUGGAUCGAUGAGGUUUUAGAUACGUUUGAACAGUUAGAAUUGUCCCAUUUUAAUGAAAAUCAAAUUAUAGUGCCAACAAAGGUAACUUUAGUCAAAAUUCACGACACAAAAAUCAAUGUUGUGACUAUAGAUAUUCCAACUGAUCAGAUUUGCAAACUGGUUAUAUGGAUUUGGAAUAGUUCAUAGUAAGUGGUAGUUGUAUUGUGUUGAACAUGAUGGAUGUGAAGAAUCAGUCCUCUUCAAAAACAGUAGGUGAAGGUUGGUGUAUUGAUUUGGAUGAUAGGAGGAAUGUGAAAGAAAGAAUGCUGAUUAGAGUUGCAAAAUCAAAUGCUCACUUUAAGCACCAACAGUUAGGAGAAUCUGAUCUAACCAUAUCAGAAAAGCUACAAAUAGCAGAGGAUGUCCUAAGCACAAAAGGAGAUAAAUCUUUCCUGGCAAGAUUCUGGCAGCAAUUGACAAUGGAAGAUGUUGAAUAUUUCUCUAAGAGCAGAGAUGAUUAUGAAGUAAACUUUUAUUUAGAGGAAAUAGAGAAAAAUUGCAAUGCCCAUUUUUGUACAAAUGUUGUGAAAAAUAGACGAUAUGAAGCAAUGAAAAAGUUGGAAAAUGAAGGAGAAUAUUUUAGUGAGGAAGAGAUGAAGUAUAGAGAUCCCUAUCUCUACGAGCAAUUGAUUGGUCAGUUUAUUACAGAGGAGGAGGCACAGAAAAAGAUUGACAAGUCUGAUCUUCGAUUCUCUACCAUCUUACUCAAACACAUGGAUCAGUUAGAUGAAAAUGAGCUCUAUUAUAAAGAGAAAGAAAAGGAGGUAAGUAACAUUUAUAUUGUGUGGUGGUGAAACAAGUUGCAAUAAAAAAAAAGUAGCCAUCAAAAAAGGGAUUCAGGAAAUAGUAUUCUGUUUUAAAUUGUAAUAUUUUCUUUGUUUUUUCAAUUUUUUGCUGCAUUGAGUUAUUACAAUUUUGUUUUUGAGGAGUGCCAAAUGGAAGAAGAGGACACAAGUGAUGAUGGUAUACUAAAUAACAUACAUGUAUUUGUCAAUGUGGUAAUGUACAGUUAAGUUCCAUUCACACAAAAUUUAGUGCAUUUUGUACAUGUGUUUAUUAAUAACAUGCUUGUGAUGUUUCAGAGGAAGAAAUAGAAGAGGAAUCAACAGAAGAAAUAUCAGAAGAGAGGAAAAAUGACCUCAAGUUGGAGUUUACUCGGAUCAUGAAGGAGAGAUUUCUAGCGGGAAAAGACAAGAAGUUUGACUACAGUUCAGUGGACCACAACACAGAAUAUGAUGACCUUGAAGUUCUCGAGCGGGAUGAGGAGGAGAAGUAUUUUGAUUCAGAGGAUAUAGACGAUCUUGAUUCAAGUGAAUUGAUGGAGGAGCAGAUCCCUGAACAAACUCAGGCCAUGUGUCUGGAUGACAGCCCUAGUGAACACAGCCAGGGAUAGUCCAUCCCUCAUAGAACACAUCCAUAGUCUAUCCUUCAUAUAACAAAUUCAGGGAUAGUCCAUCCAUCAUAAAACAUGUCUAGGGAUAAUCAGUGCUCCAAGAAGCAUAUCCAGAGGGAUAUAGAAAUAAAAGGUUAAAGUGAUUCAAACAGCGAGGACGUGUUUUCAUCACCCCAGUGAAGUGAUUUCUGCGACUAACAUUCAGAUGUAUAAUUACAUGGACAUAAACUGUCAUAAUGGAUCCAUAAAUUAACUUUAAAGUGGACAGCUUCUUGCUGUAAAAUUUGAGGAUAUAAGAUGCCCCAAAUGAACUACUGAGGUGUUUGCAUCUUCAUUAACGAUGUCUUGCUCUCAUUCCUCUUAUUGAGAGCAAGUCACUGACUUUCAUAUGUGCCUAUAAGAGUACUAGACAUUUAUUUAUCUGAUGUCUGCCAUUAAUAGUAACCUACAUAUUUAUAAUACUUCUUAUGUUCAUUGUAUACAUAUUAUUCAACACAUCUUGUUAAAUGUUAGCAUAAAAUUACAUGUUGAACUAGUACAUGUGCUUAAAGAGACACUUGAAGCGUGUACUGCAAUAAAUGAAGUAAAACAAACAUUA